rnacentral:rRNA from 1 species
GAUGAACGCUGACAGAAUGCUUAACACAUGCAAGUCAACUUGAACUUCGGUUUGGGUGGCGGACGGGUGAGUAACGCGUACAGAACUUGCCUCACAGCUAGGGACAACAUUUGGAAACGAAUGCUAAUACCUGAUAUUAUGAUUAUAUGGCAUCGUAUAAUUAUGAAAGCUAUAUGCGCUGUGAGAGAGCUUUGCGUCCCAUUAGCUAGUUGGAGAGGUAACAGCUCACCAAGGCGAUGAUGGGUAGCCGGCCUGAGAGGGUGAUCGGCCACAAGGGGACUGAGACACGGCCCUUACUCCUACGGGAGGCAGCAGUGGGGAAUAUUGGACAAUGGACCGAGAGUCUGAUCCAGCAAUUCUGUGUGCACGAUGAAGUUUUUCGGAAUGUAAAGUGCUUUCAGUUGGGAAGAAAAAAAUGACGGUACCAACAGAAGAAGUGACGGCUAAAUACGUG